rnacentral:rRNA from 1 species
GGAGGAUCCAAGCGUUAUCCGGUAAUCAUUGGGGUUUAAAGGGUCCGUAGGUUGAUAAUUAAGUCAGAGGUGAAAUCCUGCAGCUCAACUGUAGAAUCGCCUUUGAAACUGUUUAUCUUGAGUUAUUAUGAAGUAGUUAGAAUAUGUAGUGUAGCGGUGAAAUGCAUAGAUAUUACAUAGAAUACCAAUUGCGAAGGCAGAUUACUAAUAAUAUACUGACACUGAUGGACGAAAGCGUGGGGAGCGAACAGGAUUAGAUACCCUGGUAGUCCACGCCGUAAACGAUGGUCACUAGCUGUUCGGAUUUCGAUCUGAGUGGCUAAGCGAAAGUGAUAAGUGACCCACCUGGGGAGUACGUUCGCAAAGAAAUGA